rnacentral:rRNA from 11 species
UUUUAUACUUUAAUACUGUAAAGUCACUAGAUCCCAUCUGAUCUUUGACACUAAGUAGGGUCAGUUCCUGAUACUAUUUUCAUGGGAGACUGCCAAUGAAUAUCAGGUGCAAUGGGAU